rnacentral:rRNA from 1 species
GACGAACGCUGGCGGCGUGCUUAACACAUGCAAGUCGAACGGAAAGGCCCUGCUUUUGUGGGGUGCUCGAGUGGCGAACGGGUGAGUAACACGUGAGUAACCUGCCCUUGACUUUGGGAUAACUUCAGGAAACUGGGGCUAAUACCGGAUAGGAGCUCCUGCUGCAUGGUGGGGGUUGGAAAGUUUCGGCGGUUGGGGAUGGACUCGCGGCUUAUCAGCUUGUUGGUGGGGUAGUGGCUUACCAAGGCUUUGACGGGUAGCCAGCCUGAGAGGGUGACCGGCCACAUUGGGACUGAGAUACGGCCCAGACUCCUACGGGAGGCAGCAGUGGGGAAUAUUGCACAAUGGGCGGAAGCCUGAUGCAGCAACGCCGCGUGCGGGAUGACGGCCUUCAGGUUGUAAACCGCUUUCGCCUGUGACGAAGCGUGAGUGACGGUAAUGGGUAAAGAAGCACCGGCUAACUACGUG